rnacentral:sRNA from 1 species
AUUCUGCCCAUGCGGGGAAGGAUGAGAAGCUUCGACCAAGGUUCGACUCGAGCGCCAGCGAGAGAGCGUUGCCGCAGGCAACGACCCGAAGGGUGAGGAGCGAAGCGACGAAUAAUCCUUCCCCCACCACCA